rnacentral:rRNA from 1 species
AGGACGAACGCUGGCGGCGUGCUUAACACAUGCAAGUCGAGCGGAAAGGCCCUUCGGGGUACUCGAGCGGCGAACGGGUGAGUAACACGUGAGUAACCUGCCCCUAGCUCUGGGAUAGCUCCGGGAAACCGGGAUUAAAUACCAGAUACGACCACUUUAGACAUCUGUCGUGGUGGAAAGGAUUCCGGCUAGGGAUGGGCUCGCGGCCUAUCAGCUUGUUGGUGGGGUAACGGCCUACCAAGGCGACGACGGGUA